AUUGAACGCUGGCGGCAUGCCUUACACAUGCAAGUCGAACGGCAGCACGGGAGCAAUACAUCAGUGGCAAACGGGCGAGUAAUGUAGAGGAAUCUCCCCAACAGUAAGGAAUAACCCUGGGAAACCAGAGCUAAUACCAUAUAUUACCGGCCUAGCCGGGAAAGAUUUAUCGCUAAUAGAUGAGCCUAAGUCGGAUUAGCUAGUUGGUGGGGUAAAGGCCUACCAAGGCGACGAUCUGUAGCGGGUCUGAGAGGAUGAUCCGCCACACUGGGACUGAGACACGGCCCAGACUCCUACGGGAGGCAGCAGUGGGGAAUAUUGGACAAUGGGGGGAACCCUGAUCCAGCCAUGCCGCGUGUGUGAAGAAGGCCUUAUGGUUGUAAAGCACUUUAAGCGAGGAGGAGGCUACUGAGACUAAUACUCUUGGAUAGUGGACGUUACUCGCAGAAUAAGCACCGGCUAACUCUGUGCCAGCAGCCGCCGUAA
rnacentral:rRNA from 1 species